rnacentral:rRNA from 1 species
GGGGAAUAUUGGACAAUGGGCGCAAGCCUGAUCCAGCCAUGCCGCGUGGGUGACGAAGGCCUUCGGGUUGUAAAGCCCUUUUGUUGGGAAAGAAAAGCAGCCGGCCAAUACCCGGUUGUUCUGACGGUACCCAAAGAAAAAGCACCGGCUAACUUUGUGCGAGAGCCGCGGUAAUACGAAGGGUGCAAGCGUUACUCGGAAUUACUGGGCGUAAAGCGUGCGUAGGUGGUGGUUUAAGUCCGUUGUGAAAGCCCUGGGCUCAACCUGGGACUGCAGUGGAUACUGGAUCACUAGAGUGUGGCAGAGGGUAGUGGAAUUCCCGGUGUAGCAGUGAAAUGCGGAGAGAUCGGGAGGAACAUCAGUGGCGCAGGCGACUGCCUGGGCCAACACUGACACUGAGGCACGAACGCGUGUGGAGCAAACA